GAUGAACGCUGGCGGCGUGCCUAAUACAUGCAAGUCGAGCGAACGGACGAGAAGCUUGCUUCUCUGAUGUUAGCGGCGGACGGGUGAGUAACACGUGGAUAACCUACCUAUAAGACUGGGAUAACUUCGGGAAACCGGAGCUAAUACCGGAUAAUAUUUUGAACCGCAUGGUUCAAAAGUGAAAGACGGUCUUGCUGUCACUUAUAGAUGGAUCCGCGCUGCAUUAGCUAGUUGGUAAGGUAACGGCUUACCAAGGCAACGAUGCAUAGCCGACCUGAGAGGGUGAACGGCCACACUGGAACUGAGACACGGUCCAGACUCCUACGGGAGGCAGCAGUAGGGAAUCUUCCGCAAUGGGCGAAAGCCUGACGGAGCAACGCCGCGUGAGGGAUGAAGGUCUUCGGACCGUAAAACGCUGUUAUUAGGGAAGAACAUAUGUGUAAGUAACUGUGCACAUCUUGACGGUACCUAAUCAGAAAGCCACGGCUAACUACGUG
rnacentral:rRNA from 1 species